UACGUAGGGGGCUAGCGUUGUCCGGAAUCAUUGGGCGUAAAGCGCGCGUAGGCGGCCCGGUAAGUCCGUUGUGAAAGUCAAAGGCUCAACCUUUGAAAGCCGAUGGAUACUGCCGGGCUAGAGUCCGGAAGAGGCGAGUGGAAUUCCUGGUGUAGCGGUGGAAUGCGCAGAUAUCAGGAGGAACACCAAUGGCGAAGGCAGCUCUCUGGGACGGUACUGACGCUGAGACGCGAAAGCGUGGGGAGCGAACAGG
rnacentral:rRNA from 1 species